GGGCUUGUACAGGUUUCGACGGGGAUUUUGAAUUCGGAGAAGCAAGCCGCAUGGCAAUGCGUUAAAUUCCACACUAAAUAUAAACGCUGAAGAUAAUUUAGCAAUCGCUGCCUAAUGGCAGCUGUCCGCUCUGAGGCACCCGCACCUUAGAAUCCGGGCAUCGACGAUGCGGGAAACGACACAUACAAAGCUUUGAGUAUGCGGGCGUAUCAUGAAGCUACCAAACACCUGACCGUGUCUGUUCGGGCAGGUGGUAGGGAAUUCCAAACAACAGACUAAGCUUGUAGAAGGACGAUGGAUGGAUUUUCGGACCGGGGUUCGACUCCCCGCAGGUCCAUUG
rnacentral:tmRNA from 1 species